AAAAAGGUAAGCUAAAGUCAAGCUAUUAGGUUCAUACCCUAAAUAUAGAUUAAUUCUCCUUUUUA
rnacentral:tRNA from 1 species